rnacentral:rRNA from 1 species
GAUGAACGCUGGCGGCGUGCCUAAUACAUGCAAGUCGAGCGAACAGACGAGGAGCUUACUCCUCUGACGUUAGCGGCGGACGGGUGAGUAACACGUGGAUAACCUACCUAUAAGACUGGGAUAACUUCGGGAAACCGGAGCUAAUACCGGAUAACAUGUUGAACCGCAUGGUUCAACAGUGAAAGACGGUCUUGCUGUCACUUAUAGAUGGAUCCGCGUCGCAUUAGCUAGUUGGUAAGGUAACGGCUUACCAAGGCAACGAUGCGUAGCCGACCUGAGAGGGUGAUCGGCCACACUGGAACUGAGACACGGUCCAGACUCCUACGGGAGGCAGCAGUAGGGAAUCUUCCGCAAUGGGCGAAAGCCUGACGGAGCAACGCCGCGUGAGCGAAGAAGGUCUUCGGAUCGUAAAACUCUGUUAUUAGGGAAGAACAAAUGUGUAAGUAACUAUGCACGUCUUGACGGUACCUAAUCAGAAAGCCACGGCUAACUACGUG